rnacentral:rRNA from 1 species
GACGAACGCUGGCGGCGUGCUUAACACAUGCAAGUCGAACGAUGAAGCCGGAGCUUGCUCUGGUGAAUUAGUGGUGAACGGGUGAGUAACACGUGAGUAACCUGCCCUUGACUCUGGGAUAACUGCGGGAAACUGUAGCUAAUACCGGAUACGACCCUCGGAGGCAUCUCCUGGGGGUGGAAAGAAUUUCGGUCAAGGAUGGACUCGCGGCCUAUCAGCUAGUUGGUGAGGUAAAGGCUCACCAAGGCGAAGACGGGUAGCCGGCCUGAGAGGGUGACCGGCCACACUGGGACUGAGACACGGCCCAGACUCCUACGGGAGGCAGCAGUGGGGAAUAUUGCACAAUGGGCGCAAGCCUGAUGCAGCCACGCCGCGUGAGGGAUGACGGCCUUCGGGUUGUAAACCUCUUUCAGCACCGACGAAGCGCAAGUGACGGUAGGUGCAGAAGAAGGACCGGCCAACUACGUGCCAGCAGCCGCCGUAA